rnacentral:rRNA from 1 species
AUUGAACGCUGGCGGCAGGCCUAACACAUGCAAGUCGAACGAGUGGCGGACGGGUGAGUAAUGUAUGGGAAACUGCCCGAUGGAGGGGGAUAACUACUGGAAACGGUAGCUAAUACCGCAUACCAUCGGAUGUGCCCAGAUGGGAUUAGCUAGUGGGUGGGGUAACGGCUAACAUAGGCGACGAUCCCUAGCGGGUCUGAGAGGAUGACCAGCCACCCUGGACCGGAGCAACGGUCCAGACUCCUACGGGAGGCAGCAGUGGGGAAUAUUGGACAAUGGGCGAAAGCCGGAUGCAGCAAUGCCGCGUGUAUGAAGAAGGCCUUCGGGUUGUAAAGUACUUUCAGCGAGGAGGCGUUACUCGCAGAAGAAGCACCGGCUAACUCCGUGCCAGCAGCCGCGGUAAUUC